rnacentral:rRNA from 1 species
UUCAAUACUGCCGUUAAAAAGCAGUGUGCACUUUUCUCUUAGUAAGACGUCGUGAUCCAUUAGAAAUUGGUAUGCGCCAGCAUACAUUGGGUCAUCAAUAGGCCGGCAUGAAGUUUUUCGGAACAAAUGGCACGAUCUUUUUACGGUUGUGUGUAUUGUCUGGGAAGCAUGUCCGUGUUCCCUGUAAUGACUGUCUGAUGGAUUUUAAAGAUCAUAUUAUUGAUGUUCAGGCAUCACUCGUUUCGAUGAGAAUUUAUGAUAUGUGUCUGAUCGACGGCGGUUAAAUUUGGGAUACCUUUUGGACCCGUCUUGAAACACGGACCAAGGAGUCUAUCUAGUAUGCGAGUAAAUGGAUAAUUUAUGAAAUCUAUUUGCAUAAGAAACUUGACUGUUAUGUGGGAUUACGAGAGACAUUGCUAGCAAUAGUUGUCACUCCUCCAUCCCGGAGUAUUUUCAUCAACAUGUGCCUCUCKCGGGGUACAUGGAAAAUAUAUCAUGAGCACACUGGAUACGACCCGAAAGAUGGUGAACUAUGCCUGAUCAGGUCGAAGUCAGGGGAAACCCUGAUGGAGGACCGAAGCAGUUCUGACGUGCAAAUCG